CACGUAGGGGGCGAGCGUUGUCCGGAUUUAUUGGGCGUAAAGAGCUCGUAGGUGGCUCGGUAAGUCGGGUGUGAAAUUUCGAGGCUCAACCUCGAAACGCCACCUGAUACUGCUGUGGCUAGAGUCCGGUAGGGGAGCGUGGAAUUCCUGGUGUAGCGGUGAAAUGCGCAGAUAUCAGGAGGAACACCAGCGGCGAAGGCGGCGCUCUGGGCCGGUACUGACACUGAGGAGCGAAAGCGUGGGGAGCGAACAGG
rnacentral:rRNA from 1 species